rnacentral:rRNA from 1 species
UACGGAGGGGGCAAGCGUUGUCCGGACUUACUGGGCGUAAAGGGUGCGUAGGCGGUUGCAUGCGUCCGCGCUGAAAUCCCGAGGCUCAACCUCGGGGCGCGUGCGGAUACGAUGCGACUUGAGGCUCAGAGAGGGUGGGAGAACUCCUGGUGUAGUGGUGAAAUGCGUAGAGAUCAGGAAGAACACCCGUGGCGAAAGCGGCUCUCUGGAACGGUACUGACGCUGAGACGCGAAAGCGUGGGGAGCGAACAGG